UACAGAGGGUGCAAGCGUUGUUCGGAAUUAUUGGGCGUAAAGCGCGUGUAGGCGGCUUUGCAAGUCGGGUGUGAAAUCCCUCAGCUUAACUGAGGAAGUGCGCCCGAAACUGCUUUGCUUGAGUGCCGGAGAGGAUGGCGGAAUUCCCAAGUAGAGGUGAAAUUCGUAGAUAUGGGGAGGAACACCGGUGGCGAAGGCGGCCAUCUGGA
rnacentral:rRNA from 1 species